ACUCUGCAAGUUCUUACUUGUAAGAUACCAUAAACAGCUCUGCAUUUCCUGUCUUUUCUGGUGCUUACAGAGACGUUGCUGCCCAGCCCCUCGGAGCUUGUGUCUAUAGAAACCCGUCAGGGCUAUCUGCAUCUUUGGCACGCAGAAGAAAAAGGAGGAGGCAGAGAGAACCGCUGUGCUUGACUGUUUCUUUGUCAGCAUGUGAGAGAUGUACCCUCAAAAGAAGGUUCUGCCUGGGAUGUUGUUAGAAGUAUGGAGCUAAAUGCAGAGCCCUGGAGAUGCCCAGAAGCACACACGGGGGCUCAUCACUUCUAUCUGAAGGAGCCUGCGAAGAGUGUGAAGACACCAGGUGUUCGGUGGGGUCUGAAGACUGAUUAUGAACUACACAGAUGCUUGGAGUGGAUUCCACAUACGCAAAAGAAGAGGAGCCUGUGGCAGAGCCCAAGGAAAAGUUCAGGAAUGUUUCAGAUCAAUCGCUAUUACUGUCUGAAAUAAACACAAGGGGUUGUGGAGAGUUCUAUUGGCUCCCUUUGUUUCUGUGCCCUCCGCCUCAUUCUCACACAUGCAAGGACAAGAAUUGAAGUGCAAGCGUUCUUUGGCAGCAGGGGGACACUGAAGCCAAUCAAGAGCCUUGUUGGUGUGACUGCCCACCUGUAAGACCAACCUGGAUGUCACUGUCUGAAAUGAGGACUUCCCAUUUUUAUCUUGCUUUGAUUUAGAGUUCUGGGUAGUGACUGUAGCAUCCUAGGACAUUGGUCUUUCUGGAAUAAACACAAUUCCCAUGGCUUAUAAAUAAAGAACACUAAAUUCUACGGGUAUCGUGGUUCCUAGUGGAAUUCAGUAUUCUAUGCAAUCAUACUCCUCGUCAUUGAUGAUUGUAAAUUAUCUGACUAUGUUAAAGACACUUCAUAGUUUACCUUCUUUCCCUGUAUUAUUUGGCCCAGUUAAGUAUCCAAAGACCCAUCUAAUUAUGCUUACAUUAUUUUAAAAUUUUAAGUGGAGACUUUAGCUUUCUUCACAGAAACCACUAUUGCAGUUCAUUCACUUUCAUUUGAACAAGUUAUUUCUUUCAUGCUGUCUGUAACCCUCUGAUCCCAGCUGUCACUUGUGACAGAUUAGGGCUUCCAGACCCAGAAAUGCAGAUCCCAUAGGUCACAUGUCCCAGAAAUGGAAAAUGUGAUUUCUCCCAGGGGCCAGAUACACAGACCCUUAUAUCAUCUCACACUCUGAGAGAGCCCCUCCCCCUGCAGACUGGCCGCAUAUCCUUUGGUUGUGCGGCAUCUUUAUCUCUGACCUCCAAACAGGGUCACUGAUGUAGCGGUCGACAGAAAGCUUUCAGGAGUGAAGGAGGGCUUAGCGCAAUCAGGCAGCGUGCUCGGUCCAGCAUGGUGAUCGCUUCUGACACGGCUGAUAGAGGGACUUCUUCUGCAGCCAUUGAUUUCCGUGUCAGGCGGAUGAAGAGGAGCAUAUUGAUGAGCUUUUGUCAUUACUUUGCCAAAGGUGUCUUGUCAGAUAGAAGACCAAUAGAGGAAGUCAACUUAAGCCAGCCCAUCAAAUCAAUUUUCCUGGUGCUGAAGGGAACAGAUGAACUGUGAUAUUUAAACUAAUCGAUGCCUAUAUAGGUACUCUUAAACUCUUAAAACAAAUUGUUUUGAUUUGCCAAAAAAAAAUCAUGCUAUAAAAACGAUAAAGGAAAACAGGCAGCUGAAGUUGCAACAAAAGAUUGCAUUUCAGGGAGAUGCUAUAUUUACAAGCAAGAGCACUCAAUGUUCCCUUAUUCUGAAACACACUGAGCCCCCUACAGUAGCUUAGGACUGGAAAACAAACCCAACAUGUGUUCUGCAUUCCAAAAUCCGUAAGAGCUUCAUGUCGGGGUGCUAGUUACCUCCUAAGGGACCUCAACAGAGGUGCCGUCUGAACAAAAUCACAUAUGGAGAGCCUCCUUUGUCUUUCUGAGAACUAACCCUUUGUGUAAAGAAGACAGGAAAGGAGGCCAGGAGACAGCUUAGGAAAAUGGAAAUUUCUACACUCAUAACUCACGAUGGAAGACUUCUCAAAUGGUUCAUGUCAUUUUUUUUCUCGUAAAUAUCUUGAGUAAUUGCAGGCUUCUCUUUAGUAGGACAACAGGAAGAUUUCCCGUUCAUUUUUCACAAAGGUGGAUCCUACAGUCACUUCAGAAGUAGUGUAACACCAUCUUACCAGGAGGGAGGCAGGACCAGGGUGUCCCAGCUCAGGUCAACAUUUCGGCAGGCCUGACACAGAGGCCUGACCAUAAUGUCACAGUUGACCUGAGUUGCUAGAGAGAGCCGCACAGUAUACAAAUUAAGUUGAUUUUGUUGAUAUCAAUAGCACAUAUGGACAUUUGUUCAGCAGCCAUAGCUAUGAUACAACAUGAUGUACUAUUUGUGAAUCAUAAAGAGCAUUUGAAAUUAAAUAACACCUUAGACCCCAAGACAGUGCAGCUUCUUAGAAUCUGUGUCGUCUUACAAUUAAUUUACUACGUCAUUGGAAUUGAUUAAUCUGAAAAUCUCUGAUAUGAAUAUUCUGAUAAAAACAAUUCCGCCCCACCCACUCCCCUUCCUCAAGCUGGCAUUGGUUCCUACCCCACCCUCUCCUUU